rnacentral:rRNA from 1 species
CUGGCGGCGUGCCUAAUACAUGCAAGUCGAACGCACUCUCGUUUAGAUUGAAGGAGCUUGCUCCUGAUUGAUAAACAUUUGAGUGAGUGGCGGACGGGUGAGUAACACGUGGGUAACCUGCCCUAAAGUGGGGGAUAACAUUUGGAAACAGAUGCUAGUACCGCAUAAAACCUAACACCGCAUGGUGUAGGGUUGAAAGAUGGUUUCGGCUAUCACUUUAGGAUGGACCCGCGGUGCAUUAGUUAGUUGGUGAGGUAAAGGCUCACCAAGACCGUGAUGCAUAGCCGACCUGAGAGGGUAAUCGGCCACACUGGGACUGAGACACGGCCCAGACUCCUACGGGAGGCAGCAGUAGGGAAUCUUCCACAAUGGACGAAAGUCUGAUGGAGCAACGCCGCGUGAGUGAAGAAGGUUUUCGGAUCGUAAAACUCUGUUGUUGGAGAAGAAUGUAUCUGAUAGUAACUGAUCAGGUAGUGACGGUAUCCAACCAGAAAGCCACGGCUAACUACGUG